UACGUAGGGGGGCAAGCGUUGUCCGGAAUCAUUGGGCGUAAAGAGCGCGUAGGCGGCCCUGUAAGUCCGCUGUGAAAGUCAAGGGCUCAACCCUUGAAUGCCGGUGGAUACUGCAGGGCUAGAGUCCGGAAGAGGCGAGUGGAAUUCCUGGUGUAGCGGUGAAAUGCGCAGAUAUCAGGAGGAACACCGAUGGCGAAGGCAGCUCGCUGGGACGGUACUGAGCUGAGGCGCGAAAGCGUGGGGG
rnacentral:rRNA from 1 species